GUGGAGCAUGUGGUUUAAUUCGAUGCAACGCGAAGAACCUUACCAGGUCUUGACAUCCAGAGAAUCCUGCAGAGAUGCGGGAGUGCCUUCGGGAAUUCUGUGACAGGUGCUGCAUGCCUGUCGUCAGCUCGUGUCGUGAGAUGUUGGGUUAAGUCCCGUAACGAGCGCAACCCUUGUCCUUAUUUGCCAGCACGUAAUGGUGGGAACUCUAAGGAGACUGCCGGUGACAAACCGGAGGAAGGUGGGGACGACGUCAAGUCAUCAUGGCCCUUACGACCUGGGCUACACACGUGCUACAAUGGCCGGUACAAAGGGUUGCCAAGCCGCGAGGUGGAGCUAAUCCCAUAAAACCGGUCGUAGUCCGGAUUGGAGUCUGCAACUCGACUCCAUGAAGUCGGAAUCGCUAGUAAUCGUGAAUCAGAAUGUCGCGGUGAAUACGUUCCCGGGCCUUGUACACACCGCCCGUCACA
rnacentral:rRNA from 1 species